rnacentral:lncRNA from 1 species
CCAUCAGAAUAAUAAAAAAUCUUCGCAUUUGCGGGGAUUGCCAUAGCUACAUGAAGAUCAUGUCAAAAGCCGUGGGGCGUGAGCUUAUCAUACGGGACGCCAAGAGGUUUCACCAUUUCAAGGACGGUUUAUGCUCCUGCAAAGAUUACUGGUAAGGACAAGCGGGAGAGAGAGGAACGGAGAAGGUAAUUUUAACUUUUUUGCGGCAACACGAAUGCCGAAUAGCUUACAUCAGAGAAGUCGGUGCGUUCUGUUUCCACCCACCUUUGUGCUCUUGCCGUUGAGGCGGCAAGUACACUGGUCUAUCCUCUUCUGACGGGCCGGUGGCGUCCAUUGCUGCAUCCUCUUCUCACCCCGACUGGAAUGGAACCAUCCGAGGGGGUUGAUUGUCUCAUUUUGAAGUCGAUGAUGCGAUUAGAAAAGGUUGGAUUGGCUUGGCUGCAUCUCCCAUUCCAUGGAUGAAAGGAGGAGCCAGCGUGUCCUGCCAUUUACGUCACGGCCUGCUGGAAUGAAUGGGUCCGGACAGGGUGAUCUUCUGGUGGCUCAGGCAAUUUCUUGGGUUCCCGACCCGACUGAGGAUGCCCGUCUUCUCCUGCGAUCGGGGCGGGGGGCGUUACCUUGCGCGACGGCCUUGGCCGAGCCAAUGCGCCGGUGGUAUAUGUAGUGCGCGCUUGCCGUAGACUAGAUGCCUGUCUGAGCCCCCGACGGAUGCGAGGGAGCUCAUUCCGGGUUUGUUAUUCGUGAUAGCCUUUUUCAGGUCUCCCCCUCUCAACGUGUGGGCUGGGGAGCGCGUCUAUUGAAGUCUGUCUUUCCCGCAGAACCCACCACCCUUCUUGCCCAGUCAUUUGAUGGAUCUUCGUUCGACGAAUGCGUCAGCAUGCCGUGAGGCAGAGGCUUCUUUUAUCUCUCUCUCUCUCUCUCUCUCUCUCUCUCUCCCCCUCCCUC